rnacentral:lncRNA from 1 species
UAAGAUAUAAAAAUCAUGAUCAAUCUCAACAGUAUCCAGUUUGCGAUUUGGGAAAAGAAACUGAAAAAACCAAUCAUUCAAUCAUCUUUCAGCCAAAGAAACAAACCAUAUCUCACCCAAAUGGGGGAAAAGAAAAAACAAAAGAAUGAAUCAUAAAUCACAAAUCAAUUUUGGUAUACAAAUUACUAGUCAUGGUUAUAACUAAAUACAACAUCUCAAGUGAACGAACCUCAACAAAUUAUGAAACGAAACACGAAACAAUCAGCAGUAGCUCAAGUUAUUGGUUUUUAUUCUCUGCAAAAACAGAACAAACCAGAGAAAUGAGAGACAAAAACAGCAGCGAUAUUUACAUAACUCAAGCACAUUAACAAAAACAUGGGAACGAGGAAAAAGAAAUGAACUUUAAACCAAAUUCAUAAAACCGAAACGAAAAAUGGAACUUUUUUGUUCGAUUUUUUGUUCUGCUGAGAGAUUUUGUUGACAAAAACAAAAGAACCCAGAAAUGCUAAAGAGGAAGAGAGAGAAAUCAAUACGUGAUCGUAGUGUUAAAAAAAAAAAAAACCUCACAACAGUAGUCAGAUGGCAGCAGGGGAGCACCGUGACAGCAGCAACAAUUGAUAGUAGGUGACAGCGGCAAGUGACAGUGGCAGCAGCAGCAGAUGACAGCGGCUACAGCAGGUGGUAGCGGCGGCGGAGAGUCGUGAAGGACAAGCAGCAGCAGCAGCGGGGACGAGAUUCCAGCGGCUGAAGGUGCUGCGGCUUCGGUUUUCGGCUGAAGAUCAGAAGAAAUGAAGAAUGUGUUUAGUUUAGAC